AACGUAGGAGACAAACGUUAUCCGGAGUUACUGGGCGUAAAGGGCGUGUAGGUGGUUUCGUAAGUCUGGCGUGAAAUUUUUCGGCUUAACCGGGAAAGGUCGUCGGAUACUGCGGGACUGGAGGACGGUAGAGGCGUGUGGAAUUCCGGGUGUAGUGGUGAAAUGCGUAGAGAUCCGGAAGAACACCGGUGGCGAAGGCGGUCUGCUGGGCAGUUGCUGACACUGAGGCGCGACAGCGUGGGGAGCAAACAGG
rnacentral:rRNA from 1 species